GCCGAAGUGACGGAAUGGGAGACGUAGCGGACUCAAAAUCCGCCGAGGGUGAUUCCUCGUGAGGGUUCAACUCCCUCCUUCGGCA
rnacentral:tRNA from 1 species